GACGUAGGGCGCGAGCGUUGUCCGGAUUUAUUGGGCGUAAAGAGCUCGUAGGCGGCUCAUCGCGUCAACCGUGAAAACCAGCAGCUCAACUGUUGGCUUGCGGUUGAUACGGGUGGGCUGGAGUUCGGUAGGGGAGACUGGAAUUCCUGGUGUAGCGGUGAAAUGCGCAGAUAUCAGGAGGAACACCCGUGGCGAAGGCGGCCAACUGGGCCGGACCUGACGCUGAGGCGCGAAGGCGUGGGGAGCGAACGGG
rnacentral:rRNA from 1 species